UCUUGCUGAAGAAGUUGGGAUGUGUGAGUCUAAAAAGAACGUUUUGAGCCCUCUGCUUCUCUUAGCUUAAAUCCAUAUAUGGCUUUGUUGCUGUUGCUGUUUUCAUUUUAAACAUAACCAAACAACACUGGUGCCCAGGAAAUGGACUUCCAAUGAGAGGAGGGAAAAGCCAAAAAGAUUCUUUCAGCAUAAAGAAGACCAGGCUUGUUGAAAUCAAAGAAAGGGCGCUGCCAUCCCUUCAACGGCCAAGACCACAGAUCUUGAAAUCUUCUUCAUCUCAGUGCUCCAUACUAUACCCACACUGGAGGAACGAGGGUUUGCUCAGGCUCUGCUCUCCUCAGAGGCUCAGGUGGAUUCAGCCGUGGCCUCAACUGCUUGUCCUGACCAAACCCAGAGGAUGUAGGAAAAGCCCUUCUCCACCCAGGAGUAUGGAUUUCAUGCAGACCCCUGGAGACACGGUGGUACUCAAUAAGUAUCUAUGAGUUGACUUACACUGAAUCCUAAC